rnacentral:lncRNA from 1 species
GUUGAACUUGGUGUAUUUGAGUGAAAUUUUGCAUACAGUUUGCAAGGAUGAUGACAUAUGUGUUUCUAUAUAUAUAAAAAAAAAUAAGAGGAUGUGGUAUGAUUGCCGAUGAUACAACUCUCCACAAGAGACCAAAUGACACUGACAUUUACAUCUAUAGGUCACUGUACUGCCUUCAACAAUGAGCAAAGCCAUACCGCAUAGUCAGCUAUAAAAGGCCCCGAAAUGACAUAUGUAAAACACUUCAAACGAGAAAACAAACGACCUAAUUUAUGUACAAAAUAAUGAACGAAAAACAAAUAUGUUACAUAGCAACAAACUAAAUUACAGACUACUUGACUCGGGACAGGAACAUACAGAAUGUGGUCAGGUUAAACUCGUUUAAAGGCGCCAAUCCUAUCUCCCUCUAACCUGGGACAUAAACUGGACCCCUAAUGUGUUCCCUUAUCCUUAUCACUAACGGUGCGAAGCUUAAGAUGGAAUUGCGGACCAGUUUAACUUGGGACAGUGGUGUAACAGUACAACAUGAGAAUAAUCUGUAGAAAUCAGUUAAAAAAGGCUUAACUCAUCAGAUGGAUACAAAUAGAAUACAUCUUAAAAAAACAGAGUGGACGUGGAAGGGUACUUAUACAUCCCAACAACCAAAAGACUUUAAGUACAGAGUACUCGCAGUUACUGACAGCUAGUUGAAAGCUAAUAACAACUAAUACAAAAAGCAUGCAUCUUAGAGGCAUAAUCAGAGGCGG